CACAUCCCUUUACUCAUGCAUUUCUGUUUGCCUCAGCCAUGAUGUUCCUGGAUUUCACAAAGAGGGAGUUGUUUCUUGCACAGAGCAGUUCUGUGAGUCAGUGUGAAAAGAACUACCUGCCAUAUCACCUCCCACUAUCUUAGAGAGGAGAGUCAACUUUGAUCAAAGAGAGAGAGGAAGAAAUGAUCAAUCAAGUGUCACUAUGGCAUGCCUGGGUCCAUCAAGUGUCGUUAUUUGUCCCAGAAAAAGUUACUUCCUCCUUCCUGAGACCUAGCUGAGUUGUCACCUUCCUUGUUUGCGAAGAUUCCUGGGAACCCUUAAGGGGAAGACUCAAGAAAAAUAAAGAUACCCAGGGUAAUUCCAAACCAGACUUGAAAGCAGAAACUGAAAGCAGAGAAAACCACUACAUUUAAGAUGGUGGCUUAACGAUAGCAGUGGAAAAGAAACAGCAUGCAUUGGGCAUAGAUAUCACAUUCUUCCAAGAACUUCGUUGGAGGACAGUUUCUCCGUGGGACUCUCACUUUCUGAACAUCUUGCAAUUAGAGACGCUGACUUCUUUUGUUCUGAAAUAUAUUUUCAAGGAUUCUGCAUGGAAAGUAGCCCUGAAAUACACAGAAUGUACCUUCUUUGAGGCACUGACUUCUUUUGCUUUGAAAUAUCUUUUUCAAGGAUUCUGCAUAGAAAGUAGCCUUGAAAGAUACAGAAUUUACCUCCAGCAACAGGGUAGGCAUGCUUACUGUGCAUUGUAAUGGAUUUCAGUUCCCUGGUUUCAGAGUUCUUCUCUUGUCAUGUGGCUCAUGUGCAGGUGUCACCUGGCCUUCUUCACAUCACCCUGUGGAAAAUGGGGCUCAAGGAACUGCCACAAAAAAUUGAUACUCUGCCUAUUGCUGUCAAUCUGAGUAAUAAAAUUCUUUGUUUCCAACCCAGGAGUUCUGUCAGCAUCUAUGAAACUGUAGCAGGCUAAUGUAUUAACUUACAAGUAGGAUAAAAUCUCAACCCUUCACAGUUCCUGAUAAUUUCCAGACAUUAUGAUUUUUUAUGCUGUCAGUAGGAAUAUUAGGUAGAUGAAAACUUGGGAGCUAAAAUGUCUUCUCUAUCAACAUUUAGAAAUCGUUAAACAUACCUCUCCCUCCUCCUCAUUCCC
rnacentral:lncRNA from 1 species